CUUCCAGUAGCGCCUUAGAGACCAACUAAGUUUGUUAUUGGUAUGAGCUUUUGUGUGCAUGCACACUUCUUCAGUGUUGGUCUUAGUUGGUCUCUAAGGUGCUACUGGAAG